AGCAGCCGCGGUAAUUCCAGCUCCAAUAGCGUAUAUUAAAGUUGUUGCAGUUAAAAAGCUCGUAGUUGAAUUUCGGGAUUGACGUGAUGGUCGUGCCUUAAGGGGUAUGAACUGCUGCUGUUGAUUUCUCACCUUCUGGAGAAACUUGAUGUCCUUAAUUGGGUGUCUUGCGGAUCCAGGACCUUUACCUUGAAAAAAUUAGAGUGUUUAAAGCAGGCAUUUUGCUCGAAUACAUUAGCAUGGAAUAAUAGAAUAGGACGGCAUGGUUCUAUUUUGUUGGUUUCUAGGAUCACCGUAAUGAUUAAUAGGGAUAGUUGGGGGCAUUAGUAUUCAAUUGUCAGAGGUGAAAUUCUUGGAUUUAUUGAAGACUAACUACUGCGAAAGCAUUUGCCAAGGAUGUUUUCAUUAAUCAAGAACGAAAGUUAGGGGAUCGAAGACGAUCAGAUACCGUCGUAGUCUUAACCAUAAACUAUGCCGACUAGGAAUCAGACGAUGUUAAUUUUUAAUGACUCGUUUG
rnacentral:rRNA from 1 species